UGAGCUGAUUCAAUAAAACAAGAUAUAUGUCAGAUCUGAACCCUUGUCUUUAUGAGUCUCUUCCUCAGAGAACUUGUGUUUAUUCACUCAUCAACCAUCAUUAGUUUCACAUCAGCGUCCAUCAUCUUGGUGAACAUAAUGAACUCAGUGGGACAUUAGCCAUGGUGAGGUUUGAACCCGGGUCUCCUAGAUUUAAGCUUAUUACUUUAAGACCUGAGCCACUGAGUCUGGACAGUGAAGGAGAGGUCAGAUUGGGGCUUUAUCACUAUUCUCAGAACGACCAGGGUUUGACACAUGUUUCUUUGUAAUUUGGGCCAUGAAAAACCUUUUGCCAAAUGUCAAACCCUGUGGCUUAAAGGAUGAGCGUUCGCCUGCUAUUUAGAAGUGUGAAGGAUCGAAUCUCAUUUCUGCCAGAUCGAGAUACAAGUCAGAUUUGAACUCUUGUCUUUAUGAGUCUCUUCCUCAGAGAGCUUGUGUUUAUUCACCCAUCAUGGGUUUCGUUCCAUCAUCAGGGGCUCCUGGUCAGUAUAAUGAGUUCAAGAUGGACAUUAGCCAUAGUGAGGUUUGAACCCGGGUCUCCUUGUUUAAAGAUCAAUAGUUUAUGACUUGAGCCACUGAGUCUAGAUGGUAAACAAUGUGUCUGAAUGAGGCUUUAUCACUGUUUUCAUCAUAAACAAGGUUUGACAUAUGUUUCUUUGUAAUUUGGCUCACAAAACAACCAUUGCAAAAAGUCGAGCCCCAUGGCUCAGCGGAUGUGCAUUAGACUGCCAUACAGGAGACAUGGGUUCUAACCCAACUAUUGCUUACUUUACUGUCACUUGCUGGGAUUCAGUCAGACAAAGAGGCCCAAGGAGCAUGAAAGCCAUGAUGGGCUAGUGGAUGAACAUAUGGUUGCGGUGGACAUGGUUACGGCAGAGGCCUGGGUACGAAACCCACCUCGAUGUGUGGCUCACACCAACGAAAGUACAAAUAGCAAGGAAAUUACGAGGCGGGGGAACACAAACAUAACAAUACUUUGUUGUUUUUCUGAUUAUCUCAGCAGUAAAAAGCUGCAGCAGUUCUUGGAUUUGAACCCAGGUGUGCUGUGACAGCUUCAGAUGUCCUGCUGUGUGCUCUGACCACUACACCAUCACCACACACAUAAACCCACAUUUCUUUCUCCAAUGGGAGGAUAACCACAUUCUACACAUUUUGAAAAAAAAAAUUAAAUAAACACAAAUAAUUCAUAUCAAAUGUAAAUUAUUUUAAAUAAAUGUAAACUGCAUCAUAUGCGAAUAUAUUAUUAUAUUUCACUAUUCAAAAUGUGGAAAACAUGCUUAUUCUUCAAUCAGACACAUGAACAUGUUUCAAAUUAUCUUACAGCUGCUUGUGGGGCUUUAAAUGUCACUAAACACAAUUAAACACUGGAAAAUAUCAUCAUUUACUUCUAAAGUCUCCUCAUACUGUACUGAUGACUCUACACCAAAUCUGGCCAAUCACAUGCUCUCCACAGAAAGUCCCUCCCCCAACAAACACGCGACAGAGCAGCAGCACAACAAACACACUUUCUGGACUCUCUACUGGAAAUAUGAGCUCAUAAAUACCUUUCCUGGAGCUGUGAAUCCGCCUGGAUGUGGAGGAGCGUGUGGAGGAGCGUCAGCUGUUGAGCGCAGCUCAAAGAUCUGCAGCAGAAACACAACAGACACACGUGUGUAUCUUCACUGCUGCAGAGGAGAGAGAGAGAGAGAGAGCAAUGACUGAACACAAACACUACAACAACAUCACUACAAACUAAACCAACGAAGCAAAGUCCCUUACAGGAUCAGUGAAGUGUUGUGGACUGUAAGUCUGUUGAACAGAAGCAGAGACGAGUGGACAGACACUGACUGUACUGAUGAUGAUCAUCUGCUGCUGCACAGGCUAUAAAGUAUAACCCCUGCUGGACACGGCUCCGGAAGCUCCAGGGGGAGACCGAACUGGUAUCCCCCCUUCUUCAGGCGCGCCUCACACUCACUCACCAUUCACUCAUAUCGCAGAGUUCUGGCUGGCCUUGAACCAGCAACCCCUGAAGCCGUGGGGCAGCGCUCUUACCACAGAGCCACAGAUCUCCAUGUCUGAACACUUGCUGGAACUGAUGUUGGACUGCUGACCUGUGUGUGAGCUGAUUCAAUAAAACAAGAUAUAUGUCAGAUCUGAA